rnacentral:rRNA from 1 species
AUUGAACGCUGGCGGCAGGCUUAACACAUGCAAGUCGAGCGGGGUGAUGGUGCUUGCACUAUCACUUAGCGGCGGACGGGUGAGUAAUGCUUAGGAAUCUGCCUAUUAGUGGGGGACAACAUCUCGAAAGGGAUGCUAAUACCGCAUACGUCCUACGGGAGAAAGCAGGGGAUCACUUGUGACCUUGCGCUAAUAGAUGAGCCUAAGUCGGAUUAGCUAGUUGGUGGGGUAAAGGCCUACCAAGGCGACGAUCUGUAGCGGGUCUGAGAGGAUGAUCCGCCACACUGGGAAGGAGACCCGGCCAAGACUCCUACGGGAGGCAGCAGUGGGGAAUAUUGGACAAUGGGGGGGAACCCUGAUCCAGCAAUGCCGCGUGUGUGAAGAAGGCCUUAUGGUUGUAAAGCACUUUAAGCGAGGAGGAGGCUCUUUUGGUUAAUACCAAGAUGAGUGGACGUUACUCGCAGAAUAAGCACCGGCUAACUCUGUGCCAGCAGCCGCCGCCG